UCCCUGGUGGCUCAGAUGGUAAAGUGUCUGCCUGCAAUGCAGGAGACCUGGGUUUGAUUCCUGGGUUUGGAA
rnacentral:tRNA from 1 species